rnacentral:tRNA from 1 species
GGUCGGUGUAGCUCAGUUCGGUAGAGCAGCUUUGUACCUCAGCCGCUUCUGAUCUCUGGACACCACAUCUGAACAAGUACGUCCGCACCUCCCGGUGCGUCGGCAGUGGUUACUUCUGGUAGUGCGCCCCUCGGGGCGCUGCGGUUCGAGCCCGCGACACCACCGCCA